rnacentral:rRNA from 1 species
AAAGCUUGCUUUUGAUGGGCGUCGACCGGCGCACGGGUGAGUAACGCGUAUCCAACCUGCCCAUCACUUGGGAAUAACCUUGCGAAAGUAAGACUAAUGCCCAAUGAUAUCCCACGAAGGCAUCCGAAUGGGAUUAAAGAUUUAUCGGUGAUGGAUGGGGAUGCGUCUGAUUAGCUUGUUGGCGGGGUAACGGCCCACCAAGGCAACGAUCAGUAGGGGUUCUGAGAGGAAGGUCCCCCACAUUGGAACUGAGACACGGUCCAAACUCCUACGGGAGGCAGCAGUGAGGAAUAUUGGUCAAUGGGCGAGAGCCUGAACCAGCCAAGUAGCGUGCAGGAUGACGGCCCUAUGGGUUGUAAACUGCUUUUAUAAGGGAAUAAAGUGAGUCUCGUGAGACUUUUUGCAUGUACCUUAUGAAUAAGGACCGGCUAAUUCCGUGCCAGCAGCCGCGGUAAUACGGAAGGUCCGGGCGUUAUCCGGAUUUAUUGGGUUUAAAGGGAGCGUAGGCCGGAGAUUAAGCGUGUUGUGAAAUGUAGAGGCUCAACCUCUGCACUGCAGCGCGAACUGGUCUUCUUGAGUACGCACAACGUGGGCGGAAUUCGUGGUGUAGCGGUGAAAUGCUUAGAUAUCACGAAGAACUCCGAUUGCGAAGGCAGCUCACGGGAGCGCAACUGACGCUGAAGCUCGAAAGUGCGGGUAUCGAACAGGAUUAGAUACCCUGGUAGUCCGCACGGUAAACGAUGGAUGCCCGCUGUUGGUCUGAAUAGGUCAGCGGCCAAGCGAAAGCAUUAAGCAUCCCACCUGGGGAGUACGCCGGCAA